rnacentral:rRNA from 1 species
GAUGAACGCUGGCGGCGUGCCUAAUACAUGCAAGUCGAGCGAACAGACGAGGAGCUUGCUCCUCUGACGUUAGCGGCGGACGGGUGAGUAACACGUGGAUAACCUACCUAUAAGACUGGGAUAACUUCGGGAAACCGGAGCUAAUACCGGAUAAUAUAUUGAACCGCAUGGUUCAAUAGUGAAAGACGGUUUUGCUGUCACUUAUAGAUGGAUCCGCGCCGCAUUAGCUAGUUGGUAAGGUAACGGCUUACCAAGGCGACGAUGCGUAGCCGACCUGAGAGGGUGAUCGGCCACACUGGAACUGAGACACGGUCCAGACUCCUACGGGAGGCAGCAGUAGGGAAUCUUCCGCAAUGGGCGAAAGCCUGACGGAGCAACGCCGCGUGAGUGAUGAAGGUCUUCGGAUCGUAAAGCUCUGUUAUUAGGGAAGAACAAAUGUGUAAGUAACUAUGCACGUCUUGACGGUACCUAAUCAGAAAGCAACGGCUAACUACGUG